rnacentral:rRNA from 1 species
AUUGAACGCUGGCGGCAGGCCUAACACAUGCAAGUCGAACGGUAACAGGAAGCAGCUUGCUGCUUUGCUGACGAGUGGCGGACGGGUGAGUAAUGUCUGGGAAACUGCCUGAUGGAGGGGGAUAACUACUGGAAACGGUAGCUAGUACCGCAUAACGUCGCAAGACCAAAGAGGGGGACCUUCGGGCCUCUUGCCAUCGGAUGUGCCCAGAUGGGAUUAGCUAGUAGGUGGGGUAACGGCUCACCUAGGCGACGAUCCCUAGCUGGUCUGAGAGGAUGACCAGCCACACUGGAACUGAGACACGGUCCAGACUCCUACGGGAGGCAGCAGUGGGGAAUAUUGCACAAUGGGCGCAAGCCUGAUGCAGCCAUGCCGCGUGUAUGAAGAAGGCCUUCGGGUUGUAAAGCACUUUUAGCGGGGAGGAAGAGAGUAAAGUUAAUACCUUUGCUCAUUGACGUUACCCGAAGAAGAAGCACCGGCUAACUCCGUG